GUUGGUUUAUUUUUCUUCCUCAGAAAGAUGCGUUUCUUCUGGUUCAUCCCCUUUGUACUGAUGGCCUUCAUGAUGCUGUCCCAGGUGGGUGCCGUCCCAGUACCAGAACCGGAUCCUGAGCCAGAACCAGCCCUGGUUAACCAUAAAGUGCAGUUCCCUGCAGGCGCCGAAGGACAUUACCAGUAUGCAAACAAAAAUGAGGAGGUCAAGUGCGAUACAACACCAGCCUAAAGUUUAUGACUCCGAAGUAGCAAACCGGAGAACGAUCCUGAAGCUCACAGCAUCAGAGGGACUGACUGGGAACUACUCAAAUGCCGUUUAUUAAAAGACGUUCUUCUCUUUUGCUAACAAUUUGCAAAAAUUAAUGAUAAAAUAUAAUUAGUUGUGUAAGUAAAAGUUUAAAAAAGACAAGGCAAGACCAGUGUAACCAUAAUUUAUCAUUUUCUUUGGUAACGAUAGUCUUAUAAGCUAUUGGAGGAAAUAAUCCAGCAAAUUUCUAGGUAAUUAUUUUCAAAAUGUUUAGAUUUGCAUAUAUUAAAAAUAAGAUGUUUUAGAAAUAUGAAAUGAACAUGAAAAUCUUGAACAAAUAUGGACAAGAAUAAGUUUCAGUGUACAAUUAUGACCAUCACGAGAACAGCGGACUGCUCUCGUGAUGGUCAUAAUAGUACAGUGGAAUACUUAGAAAUGAUCUAAAUUUAGAAUCAAUAUGUAACAUGCACGUUCCCUUGCUCUUCCCAGUCAUUGCCAAUAUUCUGUUAUUUGAAAUUUGGAGGAUAACUCAAGAAUAAAAUAGUGAAAAAAAUUAGGCAUCUAAUAAUAAAAAGUCUAUCCGAAAGCACUACAGAAUUUCAUCUCACAACGUGGUGACCGUGAAAGUGUAAGGCUUAUUGUUCUUCGCAGCAAAAUUCAAUUGUAGAUUUUCUUUAAAUUGUGGCAACAUAAGUCGAAGAAUACCUUCAGCAAAGCACCUAUCACGUGAUUGUCAUUGUUUACAAAUUUAUUAGUCACAGUAUUUUAUUGUUACAAUUUGAAAUUGAUGCUAUAUAAAGGAUGAUUGCAA